rnacentral:rRNA from 1 species
UACGUAGGGGGCAAGCGUUGUCCGGAAUCACUGGGCGUAAAGCGCGCGCAGGCGGUCAUCUACGUCUGGGGUGAAAGCCCGGAGCUCAACUCCGGGAUUGCCUUGGAUACGGGAUGACUUGAGGAUCGGAGAGGCAAGGGGAAUUCCACGUGUAGCGGUGAAAUGCGUAGAGAUGUGGAGGAACACCUGUGGCGAAGGCGCCUUGCUGGCCGAUUCCUGACGCUGAGGCGCGAAAGCGUGGGGAGCAAACAGG